UCCUCAUGUUGCAACCAUUUUUUUCAGAUGUGGCAUUUGAUGUUAUGCCUGACUUGAACUAUGGUCUGCUGGUUUAUUCGCAAAUGUGAGUCACGGUGCCGAAAAAUUUUGCUUGAUUUUUGAAGGAGAAGGAGAUGAGCAGUGUGCACGCAGAAGGAAACAAAUGACGGAAAGGGGGAAGGAAGGAGAAGGAGUGUAUAUAUUUGCAGCGUGGAAUGAAACAUGUGCGAUCAUACCAGCACUAAUGCACCGGAUC
rnacentral:lncRNA from 1 species